rnacentral:rRNA from 1 species
AGAGUUUGAUCCUGGCUCAGGAUGAACGCUAGCUACAGGCUUAACACAUGCAAGUCGAGGGGAAACGACAUCGAAAGCUUGCUUUUGAUGGGCGUCGACCGGCGCACGGGUGAGUAACGCGUAUCCAACCUGCCCACCACUUGGGGAUAACCUUGCGAAAGUAAGACUAAUACCCAAUGACGUCUCUAGAAGACAUCUGAAAGAGAUUAAAGAUUUAUCGGUGAUGGAUGGGGAUGCGUCUGAUUAGCUUGUUGGCGGGUAACGGCCACCGAAGGCGACGAUCAGUAGGGUUCUGAGAGAAGGUCCCCANAUUCGGAACUGAGACACGGUCCAAACUCCGUACGGGAGCA